rfam:Ictidomys tridecemlineatus contig002719, whole genome shotgun sequence.
GGGAAUGUGGCUCAGUGGUAGAGUAUUUGUCUAGCAUAUGGAGGCCCUAGGUUCCAUCCCCAGCACUGCCU